AAACAGUUAAUAUAUUCAAUAUCCAUUCAUUAUUAAAAACUUUCUAUAAACUAGGUAUAGAAAGAAACUUUCUCAAACAGAUAAAAUGAAUUUACAAUAAAACCUAAUGCUAGCAAUAUUGUGGCAGACAAACCUUACAAUGAUCCCCAUUGCUCCUUACUCGCUGAUGUGUAUGCUGUUGUACAAUCCUCUCCCACAGAGUAUGAGUGGGACAUGAGACUUUCUUAUAACCAAUAAAAUAUGGCAAAGGUGACGUAAUGUCACUCUUAGUAGGUUAAAUCAUGUACCCUAUCUUAUAAUUUAGCAGUCAAAGAAUGUCCUUGCAUGUUUGAUGUGAUAAGCAGACAAUAAAGAAAUCUACUUGGCUUGAAACUACAGUUGCCUCUAGGACAUGAAGAUGACCUUCAGCCAACAGCCAACAAGACUUUGAAGCUUUCAUUCACGUAUUCACAAGGAAAUGAAUUCUGCCAACUACUUGAAUUAACUUGGAAGUAGAUUCUUCCUCAAUGGUGCCUCCAGAUGAGAAUACAGUGGGCCUGGCAACUUGAGUUCAGCCUGACCCUGUACAGAACACUGAUUUACCCAUGCCCAGAUUUAUCUGAUCAACAGAAACUAUGAGGGACUUCAAAUACGUGACAAUAGAGACAAAUGAAUGAGGAAAAGAAAUACAAAAAUAUACCUUUUAUCAUGAGGAUUAUUCUUUCCUGAAGGACGCGUGAGACAUUUGGUGCAGAAGACCUGGGUCAGAGGGACUCCUUCGGGAGACCAGUCUCCUGUCCUCAUCCUCACUCCGUGAAGAGAUCCACCUAUGACUUUGGGUCCUCAGACCAACCAGCCCAAGGAACAUCUCACCAAUUUCAAAUUGGGUAAGCGGUCUUUUCACUCUCUUCUCCAGGCUCUCUCGCUACCCUUCAAUCUCCCUGUCCUUCCAAUUCCUGUUCUUUUUCCUCUCUAGUAGAGACAAAGGAGACACAUUUUAUCAGUGGACCCAAAACUCCGGCACAGGUCACGGACUCAGAAAGACAGCCUUCCCUUGGUGUUUAAUCAUUGUGGGGAUGCCUGCCUGAUUAUUCACUCACAUUCCAUUGGUGUCUGAUCACCACGGGGACGCCUGCCUUGGUCAUUCACUCACAUUCCCAUGGUGAUCUCCUCAGCUUAGCAGUUGAAGACUGAUGCUGCCUGAUCACCUCAGAAGCCCCCUGGACCAUCAAGGAUGCCGAGCUUCAAGUAACUCUUACAGUGGAGGAUGUACUUGCUUCCUCUUUGCCUUUCAUCAUGAUUGUAAGUUUCCUGAGGUCUCCCAGCCAUGCUUCCUGUACAGCCUACAGAACUGUAAGUCAAUUAAACCUCUUUUCUACAUAAAUUACCCAGUCUCAGGUAGCUCUUUAUAGCAGUGUGAGAACGGACUAAUGCAUUCAGUGAACUUAAAACAGAAUUACCAUUAAACUCA
rnacentral:lncRNA from 1 species